rnacentral:tRNA from 1 species
GCCUCGUGGUGUAGUGGUCAGCACGCUCGACGCGUAUUCGAGAGGUCCGUGGUUCGAGUCCCGGCGAGGGCA